GUUGACCUCGGAUCAGGUAGGAAUACCCGCUGAACUUAAGCAUAUCAAUAAGCGGAGGAAAAGAAACCAACAGGGAUUGCCCUAGUAACGGCGAGUGAAGCGGCAACAGCUCAAAUUUGAAAUCUGGCCUUGGCCCGAAUUGUAAUUUGUAGAGGAUGCUUUUGGUGUGGUACCUUCCGAGUUCCCUGGAACGGGACGCCUUAGAGGGUGAGAGCCCCGUACGGUUGGAUGCCUAGCCUCUGUAAAGCUCCUUCGACGAGUCGAGUAGUUUGGGAAUGCUGCUCUAAAUGGGAGGUAAAUUUCUUCUAAAGCUAAAUACCGGCCAGAGACCGAUAGCGCACAAGUAGAGUGAUCGAAAGAUGAAAAGCACUUUGAAAAGAGGGUUAAAUAGCACGUGAAAUUGUUGAAAGGGAAGCGCUUAUGACCAGACUUUUGCCUGGCGGAUCAUCCGGUGUUCUCACCGGUGCACUUCGCCUGGUUUAGGCCAGCAUCGAUUUUUCUAGAGGGAUAAAGGCUUUGGGAAUGUGGCUCCUCGGAGUGUUAUAGCCCAUUGUGUAAUACCUUUAGAGGGAUCGAGGUUCGCGCUCUGCAAGGAUGCUGGCAUAAUGGUCAUCAGCGACCCGUCUUGAAACACGGACCAAGGAGUCGAACAUUUGUGCAAGUGUUUGGGUGUUAAACCCUCACGCGUAAUGAAAGUGAACGUAGGUGAGAGCUUCGGCGCAUCAUCGACCGAUCCUGAUGUUUUCGGAUGGAUUUGAGUAAGAGCAUAACUGUUCGGACCCGAAAGAUGGUGAACUAUGCGUGGAUAGGGUGAAGCCAGAGGAAACUCUGGUGGAGGCUCGCAGCGGUUCUGACGUGCAAAUCGAUCGUCAAAUCUGCGCAUGGGGGCGAAAGACUAAUCGA
rnacentral:rRNA from 1 species